AUGGAGAAGACAAAGGGAAAAACCAAGCAACAACAUGAGAUACAUUUGUUCUAUUUUGCCAGAGAAUCACUUCAAAUGUGGAGCAGUAGCUGUCGCAGUGUUUGUGUGAUCACCUUCAACAAUAGCCCAGGUCUGUACCACAAAACUAAUGGUCUGUCCUACCCCACUGCACCAUGUGUGCAAAUAGAACGACGAGCAGAGAGAAGUGCUCCUGCGACAGGGCAAUAGCUUGGCAGAGAGAAGAGGAAAGGAAGAAACCAUGUUUAUAGCACAGUUAAAAUGGCAACUCUGUGCUGUCACUGACUGUCCCCAAAAUAUUGCAAUCUGAAGGACUUUGGAAGGAUGCUGCCAGGUUGGGGGAGGAGGAGGGUUCCAUCAGGCUUCUGGUUCUCCUGGGUUGUGCCCUCUCUGUCCUAGA
rnacentral:lncRNA from 1 species